rnacentral:rRNA from 1 species
GAUGAACGCUAGCGGGAGGCCUAACACAUGCAAGCCGAGCGGUAGAGUCUCUUCGGAGACUUGAGAGCGGCGCACGGGUGCGGAACACGUGUGCAACCUGCCUUUAUCUGGGGGAUAGCCUUUCGAAGGGAAGAUUAAUACCCCAUAAUAUACUGGAUGGCAUCAUCUGGUAUUGAAAACUCCGGUGGAUAGAGAUGGGCACGCGCAAGAUUAGAUAGUUGGUGAGGUAACGGCUCACCAAGUCAGCGAUCUUUAGGGGGCCUGAGAGGGUGAUCCCCCACACUGGUACUGAGACACGGACCAGACUCCUACGGGAGGCAGCAGUGAGGAAUAUGGGACAAUGGGUGAGAGCCUGAUCCAGCCAUCCCGCGUGAAGGACGACGGCCCUAUGGGUUGUAAACUUCUUUUGUAUGGGGAUAAACCUAGAUACGUGUAUCUAGCUGAAGGUACUAUACGAAUAAGCACCGGCUAACUCCGUG